GGAGUUUGGAGCAUUUCCUUAUAUUCCGUUCCGGAGUUUGGCAAAAAAGAAAAAAAAAAGUCUGCUUUUCUAAAGUCUAAAACUUUUUUUUUGUGUGGUGUGACUCAGUCACUGUUCUUAUAUUAAACCACACUGACUGAUGAUCACUGGAUCCUAAACUUUCACCUACAGUAAUAUCUGAUACCAAAUCUCCAUUUGUUAACACUAAAUCUA